rnacentral:lncRNA from 1 species
UUUCACUUUCGUUUUUUAUUCACAGAAUACUGCUUAGAAAAUGUAAACAUGUAGACACAAUUCGUGUGCAUUUGGGUGUAUAUGUAUGAGUAUUUAUGUACGUAUGUAAGUAUGGAUCGGACCAGAUUUUCAACAAUUAAAAAAAUAUUUUUGGAGUCGAUUUUACGAAAAAUAAACUGGGCAAUCCUUCGGAGACGGUAUGUCAAAACUGAAACUAUUCGGCAAUUUUCGUAAAUUGUUUUUAUUUCUUUAAUUCAUUUCAGCUGAAUUGCUUAUAUGUUUACGUAUUUUUUGUGUAUGAAUGUGUGUGUAAGUAUAUGUAUAUAUAUACAUGCACAAAUAUACAUACAUGUACAUAAACACAUGCGCACAUAUACUUACAUACACAAAUAUGCAUACAUACAUACACGAAUAUACCUGUUCAUAAACACAUGCAUAUACUUACAUACACAAGUAUACAUACAUACAAACAUAUAUACAUGCACAAAAAGUACACAAACGUUAGUGGUUCAGCUGAAAAAAGAAAUUAAAGAGAUGAGAAUUUUUUAUGGAAAUUGUUGAACAAAUAAAUUCAGUUUUGAUAUACCAUCUCCGAAGGAUUACCAUAUAUUGUAAUAAAAUACAUUUACAGGGUGGAUAGAAAAUAACUAGGCAUUAGAAAUUGAUUAUAGAAUUUUCCAUAUCACUGAAGUCAUGAUGAAAACAUUUUUCAAACAGACAACACUAACGGGGAUUUCUUAUUGUCUUAUUUCUAAUUUCUUAUUUUCCAGAUUGCCAGUUGCUUAACUGUUCGGGAGCAAGCUAAGAUAGCAGCACGCUAUGAAGUGUGGAAUUGGUUCAGAGAUGGUGGCAUGCAUGGAAAGGUAAGCAUGCAACAUUGCGUCUGGAGACAAUAAAAAGUUGUCAUGCAAAGCUGAUGACCACGGGCUCUGUGAAUGAUGGAAAAAGAAGUGGCUGACCUACCACAUCCCAAUCAGUAGAGAAUGUGGCAAGAGUACAAGAAAUGUUUAAUCACAGCCCACAAAAAUCAACUUAUUAAGCAGCUCAUGAAAGUAGACUAAAGAGACAUGCAAUACAUGUGGUGUUACGUAAAGAAUUGAAUUUUCAUCCAUUACAUGUAGGAGUUAAAACCUGAGGACUGUGACCGCAGAAGUCCAGAACUCCAAGAUGUCCAGAUCUCACUCCAUGUGAUUUUUACCUGCAGGGUUACGCAAAAGAGGAGGUGUACAAGACAAAACCUUACACACGGGAGGACUUGCAGACAUGGAUUCAGGAGGUUCUCAAUGAUAUCCCAGACAACAUCCUUCAGAAGUUUGUUCAUUCCAUCCCUGGUCGUUUGAGGAAACAGGUUGAUGCCACCAGUGCUUAUAUUGAAAUAUGAAGAUUUAAUUUCAUUUCCCAUGUAAUAAAGAACAUGUAUC